UUCAACACUUUUACCAGCCACACUUACAGCAAAUGAUAGCGGAAUAACAUGUUCCUCCUCGGCAUUAUCUAAGAGUUUGUUGAUUUCAUUGUUUCUCGAAUUAUAUUGACGCAAAAUGUGCCAAUCUGAUGAAAUUAAAAUCGAAUCGAGGAACGCACAUUAUUUUCGGUCGUAUCUUAUUCAAUAUUUAUAUCUGUUUGAAUAUUUCUGUGGUAUUUUGAAGCGUUUUACUGGUUCUUUACGAUGGUAAUGCUUGAUCUUACGAAACAGAUCUGGAAAUAUAAACUUUUUUACGAUUUUUAAAUUGUCAAUACAGCGGCGUAGACUAUACCAACAUAUUCACGCUGAGCGGUGUAGACACGUUUUUUGUGAACGGUUUAUACAUAAAAUUAAGCGAAAAAACUGAACGGUGUAGAUACAAGUUUUGAAUGGUGUAUACAUUGUUUUCCAUUACGGGUUUAUGCCAUUCACGUGUUAUUACUGUUGACACUCAGAAAGAAGUUAACGUAUCUGACCAUUUGUUAACGUAUCUGACAGCAGUAAUUUUCGUUUUUAGAAUAAACAUACAUUGAUUUUUAAUAUGUUUGGUGUAUAUUCCCAUGUACAUGUGGUGUGGUUUUAGUGUAUACACUGAUGUAUACAACUGAUGCUAACGGUUGGCUAUAAAAUGGGUUAACGUAUCUGAUGAUUUUGUUAACGUAUCUGAUGAUUUUUUUCUGUGUACAAUCAAAUGCAUAUCUAUGUCCAGAUUAUUCACCCAAUGUGAAAAGGUGCUUUGCACAGGUAAUUGUUACAUACUUUCAUUAAGAACGUAUGCUAAAAUCUGUACUUUUUCAUUUUUCAGGUCUAUAAUGGCGAAAAGUCGAGCUUAAUAUAAAAAAGAAUAUAUAUAGAGAAAAAAGAAGAAUGAUUAAUCAUACCUUGAAAAGGAACAUUUACGAGCUAAAGGAAACCGAGAGUCCAUUCACAAGCACAAAUUCGUUUGAGAAUGAUACAACAAGAAUGCAAAUGAUGCCUAGAUCACAACAUGAUCUGAAUCUUCUUGGAGUAAAAAAUCAUUCUAGAAAAGUAAUAAAAAAAACUGGAGAUGUCAAAUGCAAUUAUUGCUGAAGGGAGAGAGGCAGCACAAAAAAGCAACAUCUCAGUCAAUGAAAAGAGUAUGAUGAGAGUAGUCAGUGGAAGAAUAGUAAAAAAGUGUAAGUGUUAGACACAAUCAGAAAGCAAACAGGUCUUGGUAGAAAAGGGCUGAAAAGUUCCAACACGAAAAUAGUGAGACCUAUUUGUCGAAAACGACUCGACGAAGAGAGAACAUGAUGAAAACAGAAAUCAUUUAGUUCCUUGAAAGGGAACAUCAUGUCAGUAUUCAGAUGCCUGGGAAAAAGAUACCAAAGACCAUGAACCAAGGUGAUAAGAGACAAGUGCAUAUCCUCAAUCAUUAUCUAGAGAAUAUAUAUCAAAAGUAUAAAGCAGAAAACCUAAACAUAAAGAUUUCUAAAUAAAGUCCAAGACAGUAAAGCCGACAAUGAAAACGUAAAGUGACAGAUGAAAGUUCCUGUUGCUGGAUCAUUUGUUUUGGCUAAAUAUGAGGGCAAACAGUAUGUGGGUAAAGUCCUAUAGGUCGACUCCAAUAAAAAGGAUGCGCAUGUUUCGUUCAUGGAAAAGACCCGUGUCAAAUGGUCGAUACCACUGUUCAGAUGGCCUUCAAGAGCUGAUGAAUUGUGGGUAGACUUUGAAAACAUCAUAUCUUUAAUCUAGAAACCUUCCCCCUAUGGCAAGACCAAAAGGCAGUACAGAUUGAACAAUAAUGACUCUGCUUUCUUUGCUAACUGAUGUUCAGACUGAUGUUCAGUUUACGACAAUUUAACUUUAGAGUUUUUGUGUUAACGUAUAUGAUGACACUUUUUCUUUGACUCCACUAGCAAUAGCAGAAGUACUAGUAUAAGUUAUAUUCACAUAAUUAUGUAAAUUUACAUUGAAUGUGUUUGAGAAAAUGCAGUAUUCUUUAUAAACCACUUUUCCUACUGAAUUUGCAUUUAAACUUUAACCGUAAUAAAUGAUUAAUUUUUAA
rnacentral:lncRNA from 1 species